UUUUUUUUGUUUUUUGUUUU
rnacentral:miRNA from 2 species